rnacentral:rRNA from 1 species
AGCAACGCGUGGAUAACCUGCCUCACACUGGGGGAUAACAGUUAGAAAUGACUGCUAAUACCGCAUAAGCGCACAGUACCGCAUGGUACAGUGUGAAAAACUCCGGUGGUGUGAGAUGGAUCCGCGUCUGAUUAGCCAGUUGGCGGGGUAACGGCCCACCAAAGCGACGAUCAGUAGCCGACCUGAGAGGGUGACCGGCCACAUUGGGACUGAGACACGGCCCAA